UGGUCUCAAACUCCUGGCCUCAAGCAAUCAGCCCAUCUCAGCCUCCUAAAGUGCUGGGAUUACAGCUGUGAACCACUGUUCCAGCCUUAACUUAUCUUUCAAUCCUGACUUUUCAGUACAUUUUAUCUCGAGUUAUGGCCAUUGACCUAGUUCAGAUAACAUCAAGCUAGAAUAUUAGUGCAGUCUAGGGACCCUCCUCUUUCUUUCUUUUUUUUUUUUUUUUUUUUGUUUUAAGAUGUAGUUUCGCACUGUCGCCCAGGCAGGAGUGCAAUGGUGCAAUCUCGGCUCACUGCAACCUCCACCUCCUGGGUUCAAAUGAUUCUCCUGCCUCAGCUUCCCAAGCAGCUGGGACCACAGGCAUCCACCACCACGCCCAGCUAAUUUUUGUAUUUUUA
rnacentral:lncRNA from 1 species